CCGCCUUGCACCAUGUCAAAUGGGGCACUUCCCCGUCCAGGAGCCCGAGGAAAAGCCAGCUGAAAUUCGAUACAUUGGCAGGAGGGAUCACGUGGCCGGCUCUUGGCCAAUGGCCAAGGUUCACCGGGAGAGGGACUGUUUGAUGAGUUAAUGGCAGCAAUUUGUAACUUUCAGUCUCUCUCUGGGCAAACACACAAGAGGGAUGAUAGGAAACAGUUUCUACAGCAGAUCUCUCUCUGGGCUGCGAGAAAUGGACAUGACUUCAUCCCUCCCCCCAACCCAGCCCACCCCACCAGACCCUCCUGGAAUAUCUGCUGGGCUGCUCAAGGUGCCUCCACAACUCCAAGUAUAUAGCACAAUCCGAUUUGAGAUCUGCCGGAAAGAAGAAUGAGGAACAUGAAGAAGUCUUCAGUCCCCCAGUGGAUUGGAAGAAGGAAGAUGUGCAAUGUCCAACAUGAUGUUCUGAUUGUCUAGUGGGUGCAUGGAGGUGUCAGAAGAGGCUGGUGAAAAUGCAAUGAGGAACUGACAAGGUUCUCUUCAUUUUUUUCCCUUCACUGGGUAAAUGAGUCUGCACUGAAAAAAAAUUGGUCUUUCUGGAGACUUUUAGUAUCACUCAGGAUUUCUGUCAUUUCCUCUAAAUGCAAUUUUUGCUGUAAAUUGAGCUUCCCACUUCAAUAUAAGAAGUAGCAUAGAUUGGGAAGGAUAGACAUGGCUUAUAGUUAGCACAGGGAGACAAAAAUUGUGGGAGUCUCUCUCUUUGUGUAAACACACAAAAUAUAGGUUAUUUAUAGCCUUCCCUGUUAUAUAUAUCACACAUGUGAGAUAGAGACAUGAGUAGGGGGCUGAAUGGAUGGAUAAAGAUUCUCAGAUGCAACAGCAAUGGAUGCCAAUCUGAGAACCUGGGUGGAUAGAGGGAUAGGCCCUGAUCUGACAUUGCCCUGCACCAUGUCUCACCAUUUACACGAGUGCACAGUGUUUGUAAAACUGACUUCCAUUUACACUAAGGUCAUGCGGUGCUCAGACACUGUGGUAGGGUGACCAGAUGUCCCGAUUUUAUAGGGACAGUCCCGAUUUUGGGGACUUUUUCUUAUAUAGGUACCUAUUUCCCUCUACCCCUGUUCCGAUUUUUCACACUUGCUGUCUGGUCAUCCUACACUGUGGUGAUGAGCAUGGUAUGAUCAGUCAUAAAUUCAUAGAUUCCAAGGCCAGAAGGGACCAUUGUGAUCACCUAGUUUGAUUUCCUGUAUGGCACAGGCCAUAGAGUUUCCCCAAAACACUUUCUAGAGCAGAUCUUUCAGAAAAACAUCCAGUCUUGAUUUUGUUCCAAUGCUUAAUUACUCUCACCGUUUAAACUUUAUGCCUUAUUUCUGGUUGGAAUUUGUCUAGCUUCAACUUUCAGCCACUGGAUGGUGUUAUACCUUCCUCUGCUAGAUUGAUGAGCCCAUUAAUAAAUAUUUGUUCCUCACGUAGCUACUUAUGGACUGUAAUCAAGUCACAUCUUAACCUUCUCUUUGUUAAGCUAAAUAGAUUGAGCUCCUUGAGUCUCUCCUGAGAGGCA